ACCGAGACGUGUUUAGUUGUAAAUAUAUUUAACCUGUAGGGUCUGUAUAAAACUGACCCGGGUACCGCGUGGUUAUUUACCGAGUUGACCUGUUGACAAGCGCAUCUUAAGAAGACUACGAUGGAUUCUUUCACUUUGAGUGAGUUGAUUUGUUUGUUCUUACAGAUUUUGUUUUAUUUAUAAUUACAUUUUGUGUUGCUGCAUUUAGCUUUAUGUCCACUUUUGUUUUUUGUUUAACAGGCAGACUGUAUAUUUGAUAGGUGCUGCUGAAUGCGAUACCAUUAACGCAAUCGUCAAAAUUGAAGGAUUCGACUCUCUCAUGUAUGGUGAUAUUAUUACGCCUAUAUUGUGUGACCAAAGUGUACCCGAACAGUCGGCACUUGGUAAGCACAACCCUAUUUUUUUCAAGAAUAUCCAUUUCUGUGAUAAACUGUAUUGCUAAUGCUGGCGAAUGCGGUUUUAGUAGGUCUGCAAGAUCUGGUUGAAUCCAUCACACCGCCGGGGUUCAAACAACCGCUGCGAGGGGUGUCAAGGAAGUUUUCAGGCCGAUCAUCGGAAAGGCCUGUUGGAGAGGGUUCCAAGCGGAAAGACCCCGUGCAUAAGACGACAGACGCGGAGGUCGGUGUUUCGGCAAAGCGUUAAAAUUUGUUUAUGGACAACGUCAUAGAAUUGCAGAUUUUUACACAGAGGAUACCGUGCUAGGAGACCCCGGACUGUUUGAAGAGUGCGAACAGACACCCCAAACUGCGGCCGUCGAUUUGGAUUGCGUUGAAGCCUGGUCGGACACGCAAAUCAAAUUCUGGGAUGAAGCUGACUUUAAGGAUCUGCCAACAGACUCGAAUAAGAACAAAGAUAUAGUCCUACCGGCGCCUACUGUGGUGAGGAAUCGGUGUACGGCAACCGCAUCACAGUGCGGAAUUAUUGAAGAUUUUGUGGACGAUUCUGAAGCUGUUGGAUUAUGCAACAACCAAGAACCUGCUGAAGAUUCUCGUCAAGGGUAUGACUGUUUAUGUUUUGAUAUAGUCAAUGAUCUAUGUUACCAGCGAACUCCACCAUUAUCCAGAUCGGUUUGACAGAAACGUGUCUGUUUUUGAGAGGCAGUGCAAGACUGUUGAAAAGUUGGCUGAGAAUAUUGUUGAGAUAAAGAAUGUUGUAUUGAAUGAGGUUGGUUGAUGACAAUCUGAGAUGGGAGCGUAGAUACCAGGAGUUGACUACAACGUUGAAUAAUCAGACAGAUUAGCCUAUCCGUGAAGUUUUUUCAUUGUGUAAAGUGGAUUGGGGUGCUUUUUCAGAGGAUUUAAGCCGACUUUCGAACAUUUCCCGUAGGCCUAGUUGAUGUUCCACGCCGGUCUCUUUUAACGAGACCAACUUGUGUGCAUGCAGCUGUGAAUAUUAUAGGUUUUUAUGCUUUUUUAUUUUCUUUUAUGCAACCACUUUUGUCAGAACGCAUUUAAUUUCAUUAAAAACUAAAAGGUUAAACAAUUGUUGUGACUAACAGACAAAAUAGAUACCACAAUGUCACAGCCAACCAAACGUAGGAGGCUUGAUACCACAGAUGACGAAUGCGAACACGCUAUGGUUAUUGCGGAGUUUAAUGACACUCUGCAUACCAUUAACGCGCUGUUAGAUGUUGAGGAUAGUGCCCAAGACAAUGACAUAUUAACAGACGGUCUCAUGAAUGAUGUUUCUAUGUACCGUAUGUCUGAUGAUAUCGCCAGUUUCAACAACACAGUACACGCUCUGCAAAAUGGAGGCGGUCGCACCGAUGUGUCAUCUAAUCGUGGUUUAGACAGUGUAGAUGUAAAAAGGUUGGCAAGAGUGGGUGGUGUGGUCGGAGUUUUCUCAAACCUUAGCUGGGGAAAACGGCAUUUUGAACAUUACCUUGAGAGGCUCCAGCCUAGCUACAGAUGUGAACGCAAUGUUGUCUCCAGAAAAUGGUUACGGAGUUGAGCGUUUCUUGUAUGCCAUUGAAAGAGUUAUGCAGAGCAACACGCAAACCAUGGUUGAUGACAACUUGGAGCUAACAGUUUCUAUUACACGGAGUAAGAACGGUGGUGUGUAUAGAAAGCUACGCGACCUUGCGCACAAUGAAGUGGUUAGCAAAAACAGGAUGAAUUUAUUUUGUCCUUCUAACAUUUCAAACAACCUGUGUUUCACAAUCUAUCUCGCACAUUAUCUAGACCCUCAAGCACCCGCCAACACACUAGAGAAGGUUGCAGCAGACAUGCACACACGCAUCGGUUAUACAAUACAACAGAAAAUAGGGUUUAAAGAUAUUUCAAGGUUUGAGGGUGCACUAAAAUAGUUGUAUUCUAUAGAUCGGGUUCAAACAUGUUGCAGAAAUAUCAUACAAGAGACACACCACAUAGUAGGACGGUGUUCUUGUAUCUUCACGACGGUCAUUAUUAUGUGAUACGGAAUCUUAAGGCAUUCCUAGGCGAGCCAUGUGUUUGUCAGUUUUGCUAUGUAGGAUUUAGUAAUUGUCGAGACCACAGCUGUAAGUUCAGUUGUGAUGUGUACAAUGACUCCGAAUGUUACAAGAAACCUAAAAAGCCAAAAUAUUGCAAUGAUUGUUCAAGGUAUUGCAAAUCAGGCUUUUGUUUUGAUAAACACAAACAGUCUGUUUCCACAGGUGAGUCAGGAGCGUUAGUGGUACCAUGCGAUGUUACAAAGUAUUGUAAGAAAUGUAACAGACGCUACCAUGUUAGUGUGAAAAACCCAAAAGCGCACAAAUGUGUUAUGGGGCGUUGUAUUAAUUGCAGCGAAAAUUUGUUACCAGAUGCAGAACAUAAUUGUUACAUAAAACCUACCGCUUUAAAAAAAACAGACACCAAUUAUAUUUUCUUUGAUUUUGAGACCCGGUUUGAGAAUGGCAAACACAGCGCCAACUUUGUCUGUGCCAUCACAUUUAACGACGAAGAGUUUACAGCUGAAGGGGGUGACUGUAUUGAAAAACUUUUGAGCAAGUUUAGAUCCCCCAAGUAUAGAGGUUAUACAUAGCUAGCGCACAAUGCCGCGGGGUUUGACAAUUUUAUUCUCCUGGAACAUUUUUCCAAAGAGGGCAUUACACCUAAAAUCACCAUGAUGGGGUGUAGGCUGAUUUCUAUGUACGACGAUACAGCGAUACAUAAAUAGCUACUCAUUCAUCCCUAUGCGUCUUGCUAAAAUAUCCGCUGCACUGAGCACUGUGGAGAAAGGGCAUUUCCCACACAAAUUUAACAAGCAGGAAAAUGACAGCUACCGCGUUCCUUACCCCAAUAAACAUUACUAUGGUUAUAAGACCAUGUCGGAUAAGGACAAGGCCGAAUUUGACAAGUGGUACAACGAAGUUGCUGACGGUGUUUUUGACUUCCAGAAAGAACUGUACACCUAUGGUAGAAACGAUGUCGUCCUGCUAAGAGAGGUUUGCUUAAAAUACCGCGACAAAUUUAUAGAAUGUACAAGUCUUGACCCGUUUAACCACACCACGCUGGCGUCCUGCUGUAUGGCUGUCUACAAGACACGUUUUCUCCCCAAAGACACACUGGCCCUGACACAUAACAGCGCUUACGUUAACCAACACAAAGCAUAUUCAAACAUUUCCAUUGAAUGGUUAGAAUUUGUCAAGGAAAGCAGAAAUGUACAUAUGCACCACGCUCUGACCCACGGUGAGAUGAUGGUGGGUAAAUAUUAUGUUGACGGCUAUUACGAAUAAGACAGCGAGAGAAUAGCUCUUGAAUUUAAUGGUUGUAUGCAUCAUGGUCACGCGUGCUGUUAUAACCCAAACCACACUCAUCCGUUGUCCAAGAUACCAUAUGGGGUUUUAAGAAAGCGUUUUAAUGACAAACUGGAAACUCUUACAAAGACAUAUGGGUUGAAGGUUGAAGUUAUGUGGGAAUGCGCGUGGAAGCGUGCUAAACAAAACAAUCGAAUUUAUGGCUACAUACACACACCCGGCACGAUUGAAACCUAGAGACAGCCUCUUUGGCGGUAGGUUAAAUGCUUACAAGUUGUACUACAAAGCUAAAGAGGGGGAGAAAAUCAGGUAUUUGGAUUUCACAAGUUUAUACCCAUAUUGUCAGGCUAGGAAAAGCUAUCCCAUAGGUCACCCUCAGAUAAUUUUCAAGGACUUUGAACCUCUCGAAAACUAUUACGGCUUGGUCAAAGCAACGGUGCAACCGCCGCGAGGGCUACUCCACCCCGUCCUACCUUAUCGUUGUAAUGGGAAACUAAUGUUCACUCUCUGUCGAACAUGCACCGAACAGGAAAAUCAGAUUACACCCUGUCACCACAACGGUGAAGAAAGGUCGAUUUCAGGAUGCUGGGUUAGCAUCGAGCUGAUGAAAGCUGUUGAGAAGGGUUACGCUGUAGUCACUAUAGACGAGGUUUGGCAUUUCCCCCAAAGCUCAGACACGCUAGUUUCUGACUAUUUGAAAACUUUUCUCCAGUACAAGUGGGAGGCUAGCGGUUACCCAGAGCAAGCAAUGUCAGAGGCCAACAAGAGAGCCUAUAUUGAUGACUAUUUCUAAAAGGAGAAUAUUGGGUUGAGUCCUGAUGAAAUAUGCGUGAAUCAAGCUCGUAGAUACAUCAACAAACUUCUCCUUAACAGCCUCUGGGGUUGCUUCUCAAUGAGGGAAAAUUUACCCGUUGCAGAAAUGUUGAUGUCACCCACUUUUCGUUUGUCUCGGAAGAUGUGGCGUUGAUUCAGUGGCAUCAUGCUGAUGGAUAUGGUGGGCACACUCGCGACAUAAACGUGUUUCUCGGUGCUUUCACAACGGCGCAUGCACGAUUGCAAUUGUAUAAUCUUAUGGAUAAACUGGGCGAUAGAUUGUUGUACAGCGACACAGACAGCGUUGUCUUUGUUUCUAAGGAUGGUGACUGGGAACCACCCCUAGGACCGUAUCGAGGAGAUCUGAUGGAUGAAAUAGGCUGUGGGGAUUACAUCAAUUUUGCUCGGGCGGUCCAAAGACAUACGGGUAUCGGACGGCACGUGGGAAAACGUGUAUGAAAGCAAAUGGGAUUACACUGAAUUCCAAAAAUUCAAAGGCAAUCAAAUUAAACACACUGAUUGGUCUUGUUGACCACUAUGUUGUGAAUAGAGACAGCAAUCAACACAUACUUGCGCACACUGACAACAUUGUGAGGGACAAAAAGCAACUCACACUGAAAAACAAAUCAGUCGUUAAGCGUUUUAAAGUUGUGUACAACAAACGCGUCCUUCUGAUUUCUCGACAUUGCCUUAUGGGUACCAAUAGCGGUAUGGAUAGGUCUAUUCAGGGGUUGAGAGACGUCAAAUUUUGACUUUAGACUUCAACACCCUUUCUCUUGUGUAAUAAGCGGACCUUCAAACUCGGGAAAAACAUUUUUUUGUGAAGAUGUUUAUUGCCAAUGCUGACAAUGUGAUUUCUGAUAAAAUUGAAAACAUUGUGUGCAUUUAUGACUGCUGGCACAACCGCUUUACGACGAGUUAAUGAAGAUGAGACAUCAAGUUCGUUGAAGGGAUACCUGGCACUCUAGAUGACGACAACCUCCUACCUGUGGCUAAGAAUAAUUUAUUAAUUUUUGACGAUGUGAUGAAAGACGCAAUAAUAACCAUCAUGUUGAAAUUUUUUUUACGCAAUAUGUACAUCACCGCAUCCUCAGUGCCAUCUACCUGGUACAGAAUUUGUUUUUUCAGGGGUAAAACUAGCAGAACAAUCAGCAACCCCAGAGACGACAAUCAAAUAAAUGUACUGGCCAGGCAAAUGUACCCUGGAAAUACGAAGUAUUUUAUGGUAUGUUUUAAAAACGCCACAGAAAAGCCUUACAGAUAUCUCCUGAUUGAUUAUAAAACCAAAACACAGGACGCAUAUUGUCUCAGAACAGAUUUGCUUUCAGCAUAUCCGUCUGUUUAUGCCCAGAAAAAAGAGUUGAGACACCGAUAUGUUGGCUAGGAUUCAUAGGAACUUACCGCUUUUGAAACUGUUACUUAAUGCUAAACCUGCACAGAGACGACUCAUUUUGCAAUCGGCGUCAAACGAGUUAAUACUGACCCUGUGCGAAGUGGCUUUUAACAUUCUCAGGGGUACCAUACCACUUACAAAUUCACAAUAUAAAAAUUUGGAAAAGAAGAAAACAGUGAUAAAGUUUAUUGCGGAUAAAAAUAUUGGUGUAUGUAGGAAAAAAUGAGCUAUUAAUCAAAGUGGGGCUUUCCUUCUCCCACUCUUAAGUGUGGCAGUUCCGUUUAUCAGUAGUCUAAUUGCAUCACGACAGAGUUAAUCUGAUGGAGUAUGCUGAGAAAAUGUAUUUAGUCCCCCAACGACAGUUGGAUAGAUUAAGGGAUAACAAUGCCCCCAUACCUCUAAGACGGACUGCGGAAAACGACUUGGACGCCGCUAUAAAGAAUGUUUUGAGUAGAGAUGAUUUGGACCCGCACAAGAAAGCCAAACAAUACACAUCAUUAUUGCAUAGAUACUUGUCAUUGGUUAAGCAGGGGGAACUUGAAACUAAUACUUUAACUCUGGCUGUACCGACACCUUCUGUAAAGAAUGAUGCAGAGCAGACUUUACCAGGAACACAAGCCGCCGCUGUCGGUGUGGAGGGGGAUAAUGUGUUUAACCCCUUAGCGCACAAGCCAAAUCAUGCCAGUCCUUGCCCAUUUAGGGGGUACCCUAUUUAAAGCUUUAUAACUCCAGAUUUGAACACCACUUGAGACUUGAAAAAUGGCUUAAAU